rnacentral:rRNA from 1 species
CUGGCGGCGUGCCUAACACAUGCAAGUCGAACGAGGUCCAUCCUUCGGGAGAAGACCUAGUGGCGAACGGGUGAGUAACACGUGAAGAACCUGCCCCGAAGACCGGGAUAACCCUCCGAAAGGAGAGCUAAUACCGGAUACCCCCACCGAACCGCAUGGUUUGGUGAGGAAAUGGAUUCCGCUUCGGGAGGGCUUCGCGGCCUAUCAGCUAGUUGGUGGGGUAACGGCCCACCAAGGCAUCGACGGGUAGCUGGUCUGAGAGGACGAUCAGCCACACUGGGACUGAGACACGGCCCAGACUCCUACGGGAGGCAGCAGUGGGGAAUCUUGCGCAAUGGGCGAAAGCCUGACGCAGCAACGCCGCGUGGGGAUGAAGGCUCUCGGGUUGUAAACCCCUUUCAGCAGGGACGAAUCAAGACGGUACCUGCAGAAGAAGCCCCGGCUAACUACGUG